rnacentral:rRNA from 1 species
GGCUUUAAUUGAAAAUAAUUUAAAGUCUAGCCUGCCCGGUGAUAUUAUUUAAACGGCCGCAGUAUUUUGACUGUGCUAAGGUAGCAUAAUCAAUAGUUUUUUAAUUGAGGACUGGAAUGAAAGGUUGGAUGGGAAAAUAACUGUCUAUUUAUAAAUAAUAUGAAUUUUACUUUUAAGUUAAAAGGCUCAAAUUAUAUUAAAAGACGAGAAGACCCUUUAGAGUUUUAUAUAAUUUUUUUAUUAUAUUUAUUGGAAUAUAUUGUUUAAAUAAUUUAUAUUUGGUUGGGGUGAUUAUUAAAUUAAGAAAACUUUAAUUUUUUAUAACAUUAAUUUAUGGAAUUUUGAUCCUAAAAUUUAGAUUAAUAGAUUAAAUUACCUAAGGGAUAACAGCGUAAUUUUUCUAGAGAGUUCUUAUCGAUAGAGAAGAUUGCGACCUCGAUGUUGGAUUAAAUUAGGUAAUUUAGUGCAGAAGCUAAUUAACUUGGUCUGUUCGACCAAUAAAAUUUUACA